rnacentral:rRNA from 1 species
GAUGAACGCUGGCGGCGUGCCUAAUACAUGCCAGUCGAGCGAACGGACGAGAAGCUUGCUUCUCUGAUGUUAGCGGCGGACGGGUGAGUAACACGUGGAUAACCUACCUAUAAGACUGGGAUAACUUCGGGAAACCGGAGCUAAUACCGGAUAAUAUUUUGAACCGCAUGGUUCAAAAGUGAAAGACGGUCUUGCUGUCACUUAUAGAUGGAUCCGCGCUGCAUUAGCUAGUUGGUAAGGUAACGGCUUACCAAGGCAACGAUGCAUAGCCGACCUGAGAGGGUGAUCGGCCACACUGGAACUGAGACACGGUCCAGACUCCUACGGGAGGCAGCAGUAGGGAAUCUUCCGCAAUGGGCGAAAGCCUGACGGAGCAACGCCGCGUGAGUGAUGAAGGUCUUCGGAUCGUAAAACUCUGUUAUUAGGGAAGAACAUAUGUGUAAGUAACUGUGCACAUCUUGACGGUACCUAAUCAGAAAGCCACGGCUAGCUACGUG